GGUUAAGCGACUAAGCGUACACGGUGGAUGCCCUGGCAGUCAGAGGCGAUGAAGGACGUGCUAAUCUGCGAAAAGCGUCGGUAAGGUGAUAUGAACCGUUAUAGCCGGCGAUGUCCGAAUGGGGAAACCCAGUGUGAUUCGUCACACUAUCGUUAACUGAAUACAUAGGUUAACGAGGCGAACCGGGGGAACUGAAACAUCUAAGUACCCCGAGGAAAAGAAAUCAACCGAGAUUCCCCCAGUAGCGGCGAGCGAACGGGGAGCAGCCCAGAGUCUGAAUCAGCUUGUGUGUUAGUGGAACGGUCUGGAAAGUCCGACGGUACAGGGUGAUAGUCCCGUACACCAAAAUGCACAGGCUGUGAACUCGAAGAGUAGGGCGGGACACGUGGUAUCCUGUCUGAAUAUGGGGGGACCAUCCUCCAAGGCUAAAUACUCCUGACUGACCGAUAGUGAACCAGUACCGUGAGGGAAAGGCGAAAAGAACCCCGGCGAGGGGAGUGAAAAAGAACCUGAAACCGUGUACGUACAAGCAGUGGGAGCACCUUCGGGUGUGACUGCGUACCUUUUGUAUAAUGGGUCAGCGACUUAUAUUCUGUAGCAAGGUUAACCGUAUAGGGGAGCCGCAGGGAAACCGAGUCUUAACUGGGCGUUAAGUUGCAGGGUAUAGACCCGAAACCCGGUGAUCUAGCCAUGGGCAGGUUGAAGGUUGGGUAACACUAACUGGAGGACCGAACCGACUAAUGUUGAAAAAUUAGCGGAUGACUUGUGGCUGGGGGUGAAAGGCCAAUCAAACCGGGAGAUAGCUGGUUCUCCCCGAAAGCUAUUUAGGUAGCGCCUCGUGAACUCAUCUUCGGGGGUAGAGCACUGUUUCGGCUAGGGGGUCAUCCCGACUUACCAACCCGAUGCAAACUACGAAUACCGAAGAAUGUUAUCACGGGAGACACACGGCGGGUGCUAACGUCCGUCGUGAAGAGGGAAACAACCCAGACCGCCAGCUAAGGUCCCAAAGUCAUGGUUAAGUGGGAAACGAUGUGGGAAGGCACAGACAGCCAGGAUGUUGGCUUAGAAGCAGCCAUCAUUUAAAGAAAGCGUAAUAGCUCACUGGUCGAGUCGGCCUGCGCGGAAGAUGUAACGGGGCUAAACCAUGCACCGAAGCUGCGGCAGCGACACUAUGUGUUGUUGGGUAGGGGAGCGUUCUGUAAGCCUGCGAAGGUGUGCUGUGAGGCAUGCUGGAGGUAUCAGAAGUGCGAAUGCUGACAUAAGUAACGAUAAAGCGGGUGAAAAGCCCGCUCGCCGGAAGACCAAGGGUUCCUGUCCAACGUUAAUCGGGGCAGGGUGAGUCGACCCCUAAGGCGAGGCCGAAAGGCGUAGUCGAUGGGAAACAGGUUAAUAUUCCUGUACUUGGUGUUACUGCGAAGGGGGGACGGAGAAGGCUAUGUUAGCCGGGCGACGGUUGUCCCGGUUUAAGCAUGUAGGCUGGUUGUCCAGGCAAAUCCGGAUAAUCAAGGCUGAGGUGUGAUGACGAGGCACUACGGUGCUGAAGUAACAAAUGCCCUGCUUCCAGGAAAAGCCUCUAAGCAUCAGGUAACAUUAAAUCGUACCCCAAACCGACACAGGUGGUCAGGUAGAGAAUACCAAGGCGCUUGAGAGAACUCGGGUGAAGGAACUAGGCAAAAUGGUGCCGUAACUUCGGGAGAAGGCACGCUGGUGUGUAGGUGAAGUCCCUGCGGAUGGAGCUGAGACCAGUCGAAGAUACCAGCUGGCUGCAACUGUUUAUUAAAAACACAGCACUGUGCAAACACGAAAGUGGACGUAUACGGUGUGACGCCUGCCCGGUGCCGGAAGGUUAAUUGAUGGGGUUAUCCGUAAGGAGAAGCUCUUGAUCGAAGCCCCGGUAAACGGCGGCCGUAACUAUAACGGUCCUAAGGUAGCGAAAUUCCUUGUCGGGUAAGUUCCGACCUGCACGAAUGGCGUAAUGAUGGCCAGGCUGUCUCCACCCGAGACUCAGUGAAAUUGAACUCGCUGUGAAGAUGCAGUGUACCCGCGGCAAGACGGAAAGACCCCGUGAACCUUUACUAUAGCUUGACACUGAACAUUGAGCCUUGAUGUGUAGGAUAGGUGGGAGGCUUUGAAGCGUGGACGCCAGUCUGCGUGGAGCCAACCUUGAAAUACCACCCUUUAAUGUUUGAUGUUCUAACGUUGGCCCCUUACCGGGGUUGCGGACAGUGUCUGGUGGGUAGUUUGACUGGGGCGGUCUCCUCCCAAAGCGUAACGGAGGAGCACGAAGGUUAGCUAAUCCUGGUCGGACAUCAGGAGGUUAGUGCAAUGGCAUAAGCUAGCUUGACUGCGAGCGUGACGGCGCGAGCAGGUGCGAAAGCAGGUCAUAGUGAUCCGGUGGUUCUGAAUGGAAGGGCCAUCGCUCAACGGAUAAAAGGUACUCCGGGGAUAACAGGCUGAUACCGCCCAAGAGUUCAUAUCGACGGCGGUGUUUGGCACCUCGAUGUCGGCUCAUCACAUCCUGGGGCUGAAGUAGGUCCCAAGGGUAUGGCUGUUCGCCAUUUAAAGUGGUACGCGAGCUGGGUUUAGAACGUCGUGAGACAGUUCGGUCCCUAUCUGCCGUGGGCGCUGGAGAAUUGAGGGGGGCUGCUCCUAGUACGAGAGGACCGGAGUGGACGCAUCACUGGUGUUCGGGUUGUCAUGCCAAUGGCACUGCCCGGUAGCUAAAUGCGGAAGAGAUAAGUGCUGAAAGCAUCUAAGCACGAAACUUGCCCCGAGAUGAGUUCUCCCUGAGACUUUAAGUCUCCUGAAGGAACGUUGAAGACGACGACGUUGAUAGGCCGGGUGUGUAAGCGCAGCGAUGCGUUGAGCUAACCGGUACUAAUGAACCGUGAGGCUUAACCUU
rnacentral:rRNA from 1 species